AGUGAACGCUGGCGGUAGGCCUAACACAUGCAAGUCGAACGGCAGCACAGAGGAGCUUGCUCCUUGGGUGGCGAGUGGCGGACGGGUGAGGAAUACAUCGGAAUCUACUCUGUCGUGGGGGAUAACGUAGGGAAACUUACGCUAAUACCGCAUACGACCUACGGGUGAAAGCAGGGGAUCUUCGGACCUUGCGCGAUUGAAUGAGCCGAUGUCGGAAUAGCUAGUUGGCGGGGUACAGGCCCACCAAGGCGACGAUCCGUAGCUGGUCUGAGAGGAUGAUCAGCCACACUGGAACUGAGACACGGUCCAGACUCCUACGGGAGGCAGCAGUGGGGAAUAUUGGACAAUGGGCGCAAGCCUGAUCCAGCCAUACCGCGUGGGUGAAGAAGGCCUUCGGGUUGUAAAGCCCUUUUGUUGGGAAAGAAAUCCAUCUGGUUAAUACCCGGGUGGGAUGACGGUACCCAAAGAAUAAGCACCGGCUAACUUCGUGCCAGCCGCCGCGGUAA
rnacentral:rRNA from 1 species